rnacentral:rRNA from 1 species
UAGGGAAUUUUCGUCAAUGGGCGCAAGCCUGAACGAGCAAUGCCGCGUGAACGAGGAAGGUCUUCGGAUCGUAAAGUUCUGUUGAAGGGGAAAAAGAGCGGAGAGAGGAAAUGGUCUCCGAUUGAUAUCCU